rnacentral:misc_RNA from 1 species
AGAAAAAAAAUCGAGGCAUCGCUCUUUUUUUCAAGGGUGAUCGCGUCGGAAUUGAGCCGUCUUUCAAAUGUUAAUUCAUGUCAAAGUGGCUUAAAAUUCAUCCAUCCGGUACGAUUAAAGCGUAUUUAAGAUCAAUUUUGAUUAAGAACGCGCGAUGACGUACCAUCUCAUGUAGUACGUUUGACCUGGGUCAUCAGGUUCAUUCGUAUACGAUACUCAAAC